AACGAACGCUGGCGGCAUGCCUAACACAUGCAAGUCGAACGAAGGCUUCGGCCUUAGUGGCGCACGGGUGCGUAACGCGUGGGAAUCUGCCCCUCGGUUCGGAAUAACAGUUAGAAAUGACUGCUAAUACCGGAUGAUGACUUCGGUCCAAAGAUUUAUCGCCGAGGGAUGAGCCCGCGUAAGAUUAGGUAGUUGGUGGGGUAAAGACCUACCAAGCCGACGAUCUUUAGCUGGGCUGAGAGGAUGAUCAGCCACACUGGGACUGAGACACGGCCCAGACUCCUACGGGAGGCAGCAGUGGGGAAUAUUGGACAAUGGGCGAAAGCCUGAUCCAGCAAUGCCGCGUGAGUGAUGAAGGCCUUAGGGUUGUAAAGCUCUUUUACCAGGGAUGAUAAUGACAGUACCUGGAGAAUAAGCUCCGGCUAACUCCGUGCCAGCAGCCGCGGUAA
rnacentral:rRNA from 1 species